AUUGAACGCUGGCGGCAUGCCUUACACAUGCAAGUCGAACGGAUUCAAGGGGCUUGCUCCUUGAGUUAGUGGCGAACGGGUGAGUAAUGCAUCGGAACGUACCCAGUUGUGGGGGAUAACGUAGCGAAAGUUACGCUAAUACCGCAUACGACCUGAGGGUGAAAGCGGGGGAUCGCAAGACCUCGCGCAAUUGGAGAGGCCGAUGUCAGAUUAGCUAGUUGGUAGGGUAAAAGCCUACCAAGGCGACGAUCUGUAGCUGGUCUGAGAGGACGACCAGCCACACUGGGACUGAGACACGGCCCAGACUCCUACGGGAGGCAGCAGUGGGGAAUUUUGGACAAUGGGGGAAACCCUGAUCCAGCCAUGCCGCGUGAGUGAAGAAGGCCUUCGGGUUGUAAAGCUCUUUCGGACAGAAAGAAAUCUUUUGGGCUAAUACCCUGAGAGGAUGACGGUACUGUAAGAAGAAGCACCGGCUAACUACGUGCCAGCCGCCGCAGUAA
rnacentral:rRNA from 1 species